rnacentral:rRNA from 1 species
AACGAACGCUGGCGGCAGGCCUAACACAUGCAAGUCGAGCGCCCUUUCGGGGUGGCGGCGGCCGGGUGAGUAGCGCGUGGGAAUAUGGUCUUCUCUACGGAAUAGCCUCGGGAAACUGAGAGUAAUACCGUAUACGCCCUGUGGGGGAAAGAUUUAUCGGGGAAGGAUUAGCCCGCGUUGGAUUAGGUAGUUGGUGGGGUAAUGGCCUACUAAGCCGACGAUCCAUAGCUGGUUUGAGAGGAUGAUCAGCCACACUGGGACUGAGACACGGCCCAGACUCCUACGGGAGGCAGCAGGGGGGAAUCUUAGACAAUGGGGGCAACCCUGAUCUAGCCAUGCCGCGUGAGUGAGGAAGGCCUGAGGGUUGUAAAGCUCUUUCAGCUGGGAAGAUAAUGACGGUACCAGCAGAAGAAGCCCCGGCUAACUCCGUG